rnacentral:rRNA from 1 species
GACGAACGCUGGCGGCGUGCUUAACACAUGCAAGUCGAACGGGCCCGCCCCUGUUUUUGGGGGUGGGUUGAGUGGCGAACGGGUGAGCAUCACGUGAGUAACCUGCCCCCUGCUCCUGGAUAACUGCUUGAAAGGGCGGCUAAUACGGGGUGUGCCGGCUGGUCCGCAUGGGCCUGGUCGGGAUAGUUUCAUCUUCGGGUGUUUCGGUGGGGGAUGGGCUCGCGGCCUAUCAGCUUGUUGGUGGGGUGAUGGCCCACCAAGGCGGUGACGGGUAGCCGGCCUGAGAGGGUGGGCGGCCACACUGGGACUGAGACACGGCCCAGACUCCUGCGGGAGGCAGCAGUGGGGGGUAUUGCACAAUGGGCGGAAGCCUGAUGCAGCGACGUCGCGUGAGGGAUGGAGGCCUUCGGGUUGUGAACCUCUUUCUCCGGUGGUGAAGGCCCUGUCCGUUGCGGCGGGGUUGACGGUAGCCGGGUAUGAAGCGCCGGCUAACUACGUG